GCGUCUGAACUCUCCCCAACCUUCCUCCAGAGUCUGGGAGCAGAAAGGAUGUAAGAGCUCCUUUUGCUGUAGGGGACAUCGCUGGCGUUAUAUCGGAAUUACACCUCCUGAAACAGAUUCCGGCGUCCGACGAGGCCUCCAUGGAGAGACAAUGUCUCAGUCAGUCAGUGACUCCCCUGAAUGCAUCAUUUUCCCUUUGCCUCUCAGAGUUUAUGGUCGAGCAGAACUUCAGAACAUGGUGUUUGAGGACGUGUGUCCCCUUCUGACGUCCUGAGAUGGGGCAUUUUGAAGAAUCUCGGUUGGGCGGAGAAGUUGACAUCAAGCGUCCCGAAGGAGAUGCAUUUGUGUUUGUCCAGCACAGCCAAAUCCAACAAAAUGGGAGCUGUAAUUAUAGGGCUGGAUCCAACCACAGCGCUGCAGCAUCUGACAUCAUGGGGUGCAGGGAAGGCUCGCGAACCCAGAGGUCGGGUCAGCACAGAAACCGCGUGUUGUCAACUGCACACACCUACCCGGCCCCUCCUCUGGAAUAUUGGGGUUUUUAACGUCCAUCUGACAAAAUUUCUUCCAUUGAAAAUGAUAGGAGUCUCUCUCUCUCUCUUUUUUCCUAAGUAGGCAUCUAAUUAAGCAGAUUCCAGAAAUAAAAACUGGCAUCGUGGUUAAAAUGGUCUUUGCCUGAGUUGCCUUUUCCAUGAUAAAUAUGAAACAGAUGGCAUAUUUGAAGUCCUGGGCCAGUUCAUUCCUCUCUGCAUUCCUUAGUGGUUUGAAAGAUCCCUUUAAGAGCUCAUUUAUCCACUGCCGUCAAAGACAUCCCCCCGCUCCCCCGCCAAAUACACAUGCAUCUCUCAGGGAAGGUGUGA